rnacentral:rRNA from 1 species
CCCUACGGGGUGCAGCAGGCGUAAUGCGAAACACUUUCAAAGCCGAGUUGGUUUGUUUCUCCGGCGUAGUAGAUGCCAAUCUGCCCGUCUUUACUAAAGAAGUAAAAGGGCUUGUCGUCCAGGGGCUGGAAUCCAAAAGUUUCAUCGUAGCCGUACUGCUCAUUGAGCGAAACCCCAUUCACGAAUAUUUCUCCCCGGGUUAUGACUUUGGCGCCGUUACCAUCAGUUUCCAGCUCGACGUGCGCCACUUCUGCAUACCAAUCCUCACCGAUCACCCCCAUGCCGCGCAGGGGAUCUACGCGGCCACCCA